CUACGGGCCGCACCAGCCGAGAAUAUUCGACAAUGGGCGAAAGCCUGAUCGAGCGACGCCGCGUGCAGGAGGAAGUCCUUCGGGACGUAAACUGCUUUUUUGGGGGAGGAACUAAAGUGACUGCACCCCAAGAAUAAGGGCUUGCCAACCUCGUGCCAGCAGCCGCGGUAAUACGAGGGGCCCAAGCGUUAUCCGGAUUUAGUGGGCGUAAAGGGUGGGUAGGGGGUUCGGUGCGUCUUUUGUUAAAGCUCCGCGCUUAACGCGGAAAAUGCGGAAGAUACGGCCGAGCUUGGGGAUGCCAGAGGCAUAGGGAACUCUAGGUGUAGGGGUGAAAUCCGUUGAUAUCUAGAGGAACACCGAAGGCGAAGGCACUAUGCUGGGGCAUUUCUGACCCUGAAACACGAAAGCGUGGGGAUCAAAAAGGAUUAGAUACCCCCGUAGUC
rnacentral:rRNA from 1 species